rnacentral:tRNA from 2 species
UGCCCCAUGGCUGAGUUGGUUACAGCGUCCGACUGUUAUUUCUGAUUCAAUUCAGUAGCAAUCGGAAGGUCGAGAGUUCGAGCCUCUCUGGGGCAG